rnacentral:ncRNA from 1 species
ACUGUUUAAUUAAAACAAAGCAUUUGUGAUGGUCCCUGCGAAUGCUCACGCAAUGUGAUUUAUGCCCAGUGCUCUAAAUGUCAAAGUGAAAAAAUUCAACUAAGCGCGGGUAAACGAUAGGAGUAACUUUCUUUGUAACUGGGCUAUGACUAGGGGUGAGCAAAACUCUAUUUGACUCAAAAAAUAAAAAU